rnacentral:rRNA from 1 species
AGUGAACGCUGGCGGUAGGCCUAACACAUGCAAGUCGAACGGCAGCACAGUAAGAGCUUGCUCUUACGGGUGGCGAGUGGCGGACGGGUGAGGAAUACAUCGGAAUCUACUUUUUCGUGGGGGAUAACGUAGGGAAACUUACGCUAAUACCGCAUACGACCUACGGGUGAAAGCAGGGGAUCUUCGGACCUUGCGCGAUUGAACGAGCCGAUGUCGGAUUAGCUAGUUGGCGGGGGAAAGGCCCACCAAGGCGACGAUCCGUAGCUGGUCUGAGAGGAUGAUCCGCCACACUGGAACUGAGACACGGUCCAGACUCCUACGGGAGGCAGCAGUGGGGAAUAUUGGACGAUGGGCGCAAGCCUGAUCCAGCCAUACCGCGUGGGUGAAGAAGGCCUUCGGGUUGUAAAGCCCUUUUGUUGGGAAAGAAAAGCAGCAGGUUAAUACCCCGCUGUUCUGACGGUACCCAAAGAAUAAGCACCGGCUAACUUCGUG